ACUGAAGGCAGCAGUGGGGAAUAUUGGGCAAUGGGCGAAAGCCUGACCCAGCAACGCCGCGUGAAGGAAGAAGGUCUUCGGAUUGUAAACUUCUUUUAUGAGGGACGCGGGAAGUGACGGUACCUCAUUCCUCCGCCACGGCUAACUACGUGCCAGCAGCCGCGGUAAUACGUAGGUGGCAAGCGUUAUCCGGAUUUACUGGGUGUAAAGGGCGCGUAGGCGGGGAUGCAAGUCAGAUGUGAAAUCCAUGGGCUCAACUCAUGAACUGCAUUUGAAACUGUAUCUCUUGAGUGCUGGAGAGGUAGAUGGAAUUCCUUGUGUAGCGGUGAAAUGCGUAGAUAUAAGGAAGAACACCAGUGGCGAAGGCGAUCUACUGGACAGUAACUGACGCUGAGGCGCGAAAGCGUGGGGAGCAAACAGGAUUAGAUACCCUGGUA
rnacentral:rRNA from 1 species